ACAUCGACAAAUAAAUUGGCGAAGAAGAAGAAAAACACAUAAAAAGAAGAAACAAAACCACAAAACACACACAAAAUUCUUUCAACAUUACAUUUUCCCGAAAUUUAACGUAUUUAUAGAUAUUUCAUAUU
rnacentral:ribozyme from 1 species